rnacentral:rRNA from 1 species
GCUCAGGACGAACGCUGGCGGCGCGCCUAACACAUGCAAGUCGAACGAGCGAGAGAGAGCUUGCUUUCUCAAGCGAGUGGCGAACGGGUGAGUAACGCGUGAGGAACCUGCCUCAAAGAGGAGGACAACAGUUGGAAACGACUGCUAAUACCGCAUAAGCCCACGGCUCGGCAUCGAGCAGAGGGAAAAGGAGCAAUCCGCUUUGAGAUGGCCUCGCGUCCGAUUAGCUAGUUGGUGAGGUAACGGCCCACCAAGGCGACGAUCGGUAGCCGGACUGAGAGGUUGAACGGCCACAUUGGGACUGAGACACGGCCCAGACUCCUACGGGAGGCAGCAGUA